GACACGGACCAAACUCCUACGGGAGGCAGCAGUGAGGAAUAUUGGUCAAUGGACGCAAGUCUGAACCAGCCAUGCCGCGUGCAGGAAGACGGCUCUAUGAGUUGUAAACUGCUUUUGUACGAGGGUAAACGCUCUUACGUGUAAGAGCCUGAAAGUAUCGUACGAAUAAGGAUCGGCUAACUCCGUGCCAGCAGCCGCGGUAAUACGGAGGAUCCAAGCGUUAUCCGGAUUUAUUGGGUUUAAAGGGUGCGUAGGCGGUUUGAUAAGUUAGAGGUGAAAUACCGGUGCUUAACACCGGAACUGCCUCUAAUACUGUUGGACUAGAGAGUAGUUGCGGUAGGCGGAAUGUAUGGUGUAGCGGUGAAAUGCUUAGAGAUCAUACAGAACACCGAUUGCGAAGGCAGCUUACCAAACUAUAUCUGACGUUGAGGCACGAAAGCGUGGGGAGCAAACAGGAUUAGAUACCCUGGUAGUCCACGCAGUAAACGAUGAUAACUCGCUGUCGGCGAUACACAGUCGGCGGCUAAGCGAAAGCGAUAAGUUAUCCACCUGGGGAGUACGUUCGCAAGAAUGAAACUCAAAGGAAUUGACGGGGGCCCGCACAAGCGGAGGAACAUGUGGUUUAAUUCGAUGAUACGCGAGGAACCUUACCCGGGCUUGAAAGUUACUGACGAUUCUGGAAACAGGAUUUCCCUUCGGGGCAGGAAACUAGGUGCUGCAUGGUUGUCGUCAGCUCGUGCCGUGAGGUGUCGGGUUAAGUCCCAUAACGAGCGCAACCCCUACCGUUAGUUGCCAUCAGGUCAAGCUGGGCACUCUGGCGGGACUGCCGGUGUAAGCCGAGAGGAAGGUGGGGAUGACGUCAAAUCAGCACGGCCCUUACGUCCGGGGCGACACACGUGUUACAAUGGCGUGGAACAGAGGGAAGCCACCUGGCGACAGGGAGCGGAACCCGAAAACACGUCUCAGUUCGGAUUGGAGUCUGCAACUCGACUCCAUGAAGCUGGAUUCGCUAGUAAUCGCGCAUCAGCCAUGGCGCGGUGAAUACGU
rnacentral:rRNA from 1 species